GACGAACGCUGGCGGCGUGCUUAACACAUGCAAGUCGAACGGAAAGGCCCUGCUUUUGUGGGGUGCUCGAGUGGCGAACGGGUGAGUAACACGUGAGUAACCUGCCCUUGACUUUGGGAUAACUUCAGGAAACUGGGGCUAAUACCGGAUAGGAGCUCCUGCUGCAUGGUGGGGGUUGGAAAGUUUCGGCGGUUGGGGAUGGACUCGCGGCUUAUCAGCUUGUUGGUGGGGUAGUGGCUUACCAAGGCUUUGACGGGUAGCCGGCCUGAGAGGGUGACCGGCCACAUUGGGACUGAGAUACGGCCCAGACUCCUACUGGCGGCAGCAGUGGGUAAUAUUGCACAAUGGUCUGAAGCCUGAUGCAGCAACGCCGCGUGCGGGAUGACGGCCUUCGGGUUGUAAACCGCUUUCGCCUGUGACGAAGCGUGAGUGACGGUAAUGGGUAAAGAAGCACCGGCUAACUACGUG
rnacentral:rRNA from 1 species